rnacentral:rRNA from 1 species
UACGUAGGGCGCAAGCGUUGUCCGGAAUUAUUGGGCGUAAAGAGCUCGUAGGCGGCCUGUUGCGUCCGCUGUGAAAACCCGGGGCUUAACCCCGGGCGUGCAGUGGAUACGGGCAGGCUGGAGGCAGGCAGGGGAGAACGGAAUUCCCGGUGUAGCGGUGAAAUGCGCAGAUAUCGGGAGGAACACCGGUGGCGAAGGCGGUUCUCUGGGCCUGUACUGACGCUGAGGAGCGAAAGCGUGGGGAGCGAACAGG